UGCUGGAGGUAUCAGAAGUGCGAAUGCUGACAUAAGUAACGAUAAAGCGGGUGAAAAGCCCGCUCGCCGGAAGACCAAGGGUUCCUGUCCAACGUUAAUCGGGGCAGGGUGAGUCGACCCCUAAGGCGAGGCCGAAAGGCGUAGUCGAUGGGAAACGGGUUAAUAUUCCCGUACUUGGUGUUACUGCGAAGGGGGGACGGAGAAGGCUAUGUUGGCCGGGCGACGGUUGUCCCGGUUUAAGCAUGUAGGCGGAGGUUCCAGGUAAAUCCGGUACCUUAUUAACGCUGAGGUGUGAUGACGAGGCACUACGGUGCUGAAGUAACAAAUGCCCUGCUUCCAGGAAAAGCCUCUAAGCAUCAGGUAACAUCAAAUCGUACCCCAAACCGACACAGGUGGUCAGGUAGAGAAUACCAAGGCGCUUGAGAGAACUCGGGUGAAGGAACUAGGCAAAAUGGUGCCGUAACUUCGGGAGAAGGCACGCUGACACGUAGGUGAAGUGAUUUACUCACGGAGCUGAAGUCAGUCGAAGAUACCAGCUGGCUGCAACUGUUUAUUAAAAACACAGCACUGUGCAAACACGAAAGUGGACGUAUACGGUGUGACGCCUGCCCGGUGCCGGAAGGUUAAUUGAUGGGGUCAGCGCAAGCGAAGCUCCUGAUCGAAGCCCCGGUAAACGGCGGCCGUAACUAUAACGGUCCUAAGGUAGCGAAAUUCCUUGUCGGGUAAGUUCCGACCUGCACGAAUGGCGUAAUGAUGGCCAGGCUGUCUCCACCCGAGACUCAGUGAAAUUGAACUCGCUGUGAAGAUGCAGUGUACCCGCGGCAAGACGGAAAGACCCCGUGAACCUUUACUAUAGCUUGACACUGAACAUUGAGCCUUGAUGUGUAGGAUAGGUGGGAGGCUUUGAAGUGUGGACGCCAGUCUGCAUGGAGCCGACCUUGAAAUACCACCCUUUAAUGUUUGAUGUUCUAACGUGGACCCGUGAUCCGGGUUGCGGACAGUGUCUGGUGGGUAGUUUGACUGGGGCGGUCUCCUCCUAAAGAGUAACGGAGGAGCACGAAGGUUGGCUAAUCCUGGUCGGACAUCAGGAGGUUAGUGCAAUGGCAUAAGCCAGCUUGACUGCGAGCGUGACGGCGCGAGCAGGUGCGAAAGCAGGUCAUAGUGAUCCGGUGGUUCUGAAUGGAAGGGCCAUCGCUCAACGGAUAAAAGGUACUCCGGGGAUAACAGGCUGAUACCGCCCAAGAGUUCAUAUCGACGGCGGUGUUUGGCACCUCGAUGUCGGCUCAUCACAUCCUGGGGCUGAAGUAGGUCCCAAGGGUAUGGCUGUUCGCCAUUUAAAGUGGUACGCGAGCUGGGUUUAGAACGUCGUGAGACAGUUCGGUCCCUAUCUGCCGUGGGCGCUGGAGAACUGAGGGGGGCUGCUCCUAGUACGAGAGGACCGGAGUGGACGCAUCACUGGUGUUCGGGUUGUCAUGCCAAUGGCACUGCCCGGUAGCUAAAUGCGGAAGAGAUAAGUGCUGAAAGCAUCUAAGCACGAAACUUGCCCCGAGAUGAGUUCUCCCUGAGACUUAGAGUCUCCUGAAGGAACGUUGAAGACGACGACGUUGAUAGGCCGGGUGUGUAAGCGCAGCGAUGCGUUGAGCUAACCGGUACUAAUGAACCGUGAGGCUUAACCUUACAACGCCGAAG
rnacentral:rRNA from 1 species